rnacentral:rRNA from 1 species
UUCGCUAGUAAUCGCGCAUCAGCCACGGCGCGGUGAAUACGUUCCCGGGCCUUGUACACACCGCCCGUCAAGCCAUGAAAGCCGGGGGUACCUGAAGUGCGUAACCGCGAGGAGCGCCCUAGGGUAAAACUGGUGAUUGGGGCUAAGUCGUAACAAGGUAAC